rnacentral:rRNA from 1 species
ACAUGCAAGUCGAACGGAGUUUUAACGGAAGUUUCGGAUGGAAGUUAGAAACUAGUGGCGGACGGGUGAGUAACGCGUGGGUAACCUGCCUCAUACAGGGGGGAUAACAGUUAGAAAUGACUGCUAACACCGCAUAAUAUAGCGAAACCGCAAUGAUUUUGCUAUCAAAUAUUUAUAGGUAUGAGAUGGGCCCGCGUCUGAUUAGCUAGUUGGUGGGGUAAAAGCCUACCAAGGCGACGAUCAGUAGCCGGCUUGAGAGAGUGACCGGCCACAUUGGGACUGAGACACGGCCCAAACUCCUACGGGAGGCAGCAGUGGGGAAUAUUGGACAAUGGGGGAAACCCUGAUCCAGCCGACGCCGCGUGAGUGAAGAAGUAUUUCGGUAUGUAAAGCUCUAUCAGCAGGGAAGAUAAUGACAGUACCUGACUAAGAAGCCCCGGCUAACUACGUGCCAGCCGCCGC